CGGUAGCAGAAGGUGAACGUUGAACUGUUGUUGUAAACAUAUCCAGCCGACGCUGCGUACCGUUUUGCGCGUGUACACCUAGAUCACACCGACAGUUUUACAUUAACCUUCCGCUACCAUUUCUGUCAAGCCGUUCACGCACACAGUUUGAUAAAUCCAAGAUAUGCACCACCAACAAACGCCGCGUGCCAUUGGAAAUGAAUGGUGUACCGAAAUGCUUCACGCUAUCGGUGAGACAUAGGCAUUUUUAGCAAGCAUGCACAUGUAACGUAUGAGUGAUCACGGGGACCGAACCCACCAUCCUCGCGUUGCAAUGGCAAUGCUCUACCAACAGAGCUACAGAGGACCAUUCACGUCUAGAAGAGGGCGUUGCUGUUCUGCCUCGACAGGAUGCUUGCAGGAGCCCAUUUCUAGCUAAACAAGAGGUGCUACUUUGGUUAGAAGAGUGGCGAUUUUUCGACAAAAAACAACAAAAAUACGAUGAGCGGUUGUCAUGUGAUCGAAUUCGUGUGACGUCACGUGGCAGGAAGGACAUUUCCGCGUCCACGCGGGCUCCACUAGAGGGCACAUUCACUGCAAACAUCGGACUGUAAUAUGUAUUAUAGUAAUGGACUACCGUGCACUGACCUGUCGCUGCAGUAACUAAAUAUGGAGCUCAUUUCUAAUGUACAGGAGGUAGAUAACAUGUUAUAAAUACAUGAAAAUGGACCGAUCUUGAUGUUUCUCAAACUGAUCAAUUGUCCCGAAUAGAAUGAUUAAAUCCUAUAACUAAGUUGCAAACGGAUCAGACGGGUAGAUCUUCAGGCACUGUCAGUGCAGGGCAUUCUUCCGAGCAUGAUGCUUCCCUGUAGACAUGACUCUUCCCUGUAGGCACGAUGCUUCCCUG